rnacentral:rRNA from 1 species
UGUAGUGGGGGAUAGCCCGGCGAAAGCCGGAUUAAUACCGCAUACGAUCUACGGAUGAAAGCGGGGGACCUUCGGGCCUCGCGCUAUAGGGUUGGCCGAUGGCUGAUUAGCUAGUUGGUGGGGUAAAGGCCUACCAAGGCGACGAUCAGUAGCUGGUCUGAGAGGACGACCAGCCACACUGGGACUGAGACACGGCCCAGACUCCUACGGGAGGCAGCAGUGGGGAAUUUUGGACAAUGGGCGAAAGCCUGAUCCAGCAAUGCCGCGUGUGUGAAGAAGGCCUUCGGGUUGCAAAGCACUUUUGUCCGGAAAGAAAUCCUUGGCUCUAAUACAGUCGGGGGAUGACGGUACCGGAAGAAUAAGCACCGGCUAACUACGUGCCAGCAGCCGCGGUAAUACGUAGGGUGCGAGCGUUAAUCGGAAUUACUGGGCGUAAAGCGUGCGCAGGCGGUUUGCUAAGACCGAUGUGAAAUCCCCGGGCUCAACCUGGGAACUGCAUUGGUGACUGGCAGGCUAGAGUAUGGCAGAGGGGGGUAGAAUUCCACGUGUAGCAGUGAAAUGCGUAGAGAUGUGGAGGAAUACCGAUGGCGAAGGCAGCCCCCUGGGCCAAUACUGACGCUCAUGCACGAAAGCGUGGGGAGCAAACAGGAUUAGAUACCCUGGUAGUCCACGCCCUAAACGAUGUCAACUAGUUGUUGGGGAUUCAUUUCCUUAGUAACGUAGCUAACGCGUGAAGUUGACCGCCUGGGGAGUACGGUCGCAAGAUUAAAACUCAAAGGAAUUGACCGGGGACCCGCACAAGCGGUGGAUGAUGUGGGAUUAAUUCGAUGCAACGCGGAAAAACCUUACCUACCCCUUGACAUGGUCGGGAAUCCUUGCUGAAAAGUGGGUAGUGCUCCUAAAGAGAAACCGGCCCCACAGGUGCCUGCAUGGCCUUCGUCCACUUCUGUUCCUGGAAAUGUUGGGGUUAAAGUCCCCCCAACGAGCCGCAACCCUUUGUUCUUAGUUUGCCUACCCCAAGAAGCAAUCUAAAGGUGAACUGGCCGGUUGACCAAACCCGGAAGGAAAGGGGGGGGGAUGGACGUCCAAGUC